rnacentral:miRNA from 1 species
ACCCUCAUCGACCGGAAGGAAUCCCUUCCGGUCGAUGAGGUUGUUGUACCUCAUCGGCCGGAAGGGAUUCCUUCGUCGAUGAGGU